rnacentral:misc_RNA from 1 species
GAGUGGUGUUUGGUUUGUUACGUGUGGUUGGCUGUGGCGUUUGCAACAACUUCCAUGCUUUCAGACCUCUUCAGUUGUGCGGCAAGGCUUGUAUCGCCUUGAGCGUAUUGUGGGUUUCUGUGUUGGCUACCUAAUCAAUGGUAUCGGUUGGAUUGAUCAAUGUUUCAUUUCGUCUACCGUCGCAUUCGCGGUGUGAGAUGAACCUUGAUGCGGUCUCUUUGAUCCACCUCGUCGAAGCGCAUGCUUUGGCGUUGUGGCACAUUGAGCAUUGCUUGGUCUCUUGUAUACGGAACAUAGAGUGGGCAUGGAUCUAACGAUUCACGUUUGCCCUCAUAUUAGCGUAACGCUUCUCUUACACGACUUGCUCCACGUUUUAGCUCGUAC